rnacentral:snRNA from 1 species
GGAUGUGAGGGUGAUCUGGCUGCAACAUCUGUCACCCCAUUGAUUCCAGGGUUGAUUUGGCUGAUCUGGCUGGCUAGGUGGGUGUCCCCUUCCUCCCUCACCGCUCCAUGUGCAUCCCUCGCGAAGCUGCUGCGUGCUCAAAGAGGACAACCUUCCCCGAUAGAGGAGGACCGUUCUUCAGUCAAGCGUAUACGAGUAGCUGCGCUCCCCUGCUAGAACCUCCAAACAAGCUCUCAAGAAAAAGAGAACACAGAUUAAUAUCAGGAUUAAAGAAGGGUUAUCACUCCAGGUCUUAUACAUAAAUGGAUAAAAAGAAUAUUCUAAACAACUUU